AUUGAACGCUGGCGGCAGGCCUAACACAUGCAAGUCGAGCGGCAGAAGAGAGCUUGCUCCUGCUUUCAGCGGCGGAGGGGUGGGUGAUGCCUGGGAAUAUGCCUGUCUGCGGGGGCGAAGGUGCGGACGCGGGCGCACAUACGGCAUUAGUGCUGACGAAGAACGGGGGAGAGCAUCGGACCUUCGGAUAUCGCGUGAGCCUAUGUCGGAUUAGCUAGUUGGUGGGGUAAAGGCCUACCAAGGCGACGAUCCGUAACUGGUCUGCGAGGAUGAUCAGUCACACUGGAACUGAGACACGGUCCAGACUCCUACGGGAGGCAGCAGUGGGGAAUAUUGGACAAUGGGCGAAAGCCUGAUCCAGCCAUGCCGCGUGUGUGAAGAAGGUCUUCGGAUUGUAAAGCACUUUAAGUGGGAAGGAAGGGCAGUAGGUUAAUACCUCGCUGUUUUGACGUUACCAACAGAAUAAGCACCGGCUAACUUCGU
rnacentral:rRNA from 1 species